rnacentral:misc_RNA from 1 species
UACGUAGGGGGCGAGCGUUGUCCGGAAUUAUUGGGUUUAAAGGGUCCGUAGGCGGGCAGUUAAGUCAGUGGUGAAAGUCUUCCGCUCAACGGGAGAACUGCCAUUGAUACUGAUUGUCUUGAGUUAUUAUGAAGUGGUUAGAGUGGGUAGUGUAGCGGUGAAAUGCAUAGAUAUUACUCAGAAUACCGAUUGCGAUGGCAGAUCACUAAUAAUAUACUGACGCUGAUGGACGAAAGCGUAGGUAGCGAACAGG